GUGGGAGGGGGCUUGCUCCCGAUAGCGGUGCCUCAGUCAGUUUAUCUGAUACUGAUACACCGCUAUCGGGAGCAAGCCCCCUCCCAC
rnacentral:misc_RNA from 1 species